rfam:Streptococcus sp. HSISB1 chromosome, whole genome shotgun sequence.
AGUUUUCUUCGGGGCAGGGUGAAAUUCCCGACCGACGGUGUUGUUGUCUCGUUGAUUGUUACUUGCUUUUAUUUCUCGCUGAUGUUUCGUUAUGCCUGUGAGGAGAAGCAAUUACCAAUCAACUUUAUUGAAAAAUGAGAGAGCUAAGUCCGUGAGCGCAAGCUGAUCUGGUGUGAUUCCAGAGCCGACAGUAUAGUCUGGAUGGGAGAAGAAUUGA